AAAAUCUUAAUCGACCACCGGCGGACAAUCGUUAUGCCGGAUGUGGCAAAAUAUUGAUUCCCAAACUAGAGUCAGCCGGCCAUAUCCUUGAUUUCCACUAUCCGGCCAUAGAGGAUGCUCACUGUCAAUAAUAAAGCCUCGGAGACUCACUCCGUUAGAUUUGUUUUGGUUGAAAUGCAGCCUAGAAGACUGAACAAUGUUGGGAAUCUCUGAUCUUCACACUACUUAGACAAUAAUGUGCCUACAGGAUACGUUAAAACGGAAUAAAGUGAUGUCUUUACUAACAUCUUUGUGUGCGCUUCUUCAAGCUGGAGAUUUGUUUCAUCAGGAGCAAACCUUGACCUUGGCCUCCACAGAAGCACCCCAGUGUUACAAAGUAUCAAUUGGACGACCAAAACGACUACAAAGAUAGCUCCACUCCCAACAGCUAUUCCUAUUCCAAAACUGUUAACGAGGGUGUCAUGUGGCCAGCAUAACGACGAACUAACUACUUUUUCUCAACUAACGUCAG